CUCCAGGGGUGUCCCGCCAAGGGGCUGGGAUACUGUUGGCCGAAGGCAGCACAGUGACCCUUUGAACCUGAUCCGGAUCAUGCCGGCGAAGGGACAGGU
rnacentral:ncRNA from 1 species